rnacentral:rRNA from 1 species
UACGAAGGGGGCUAGCGUUGUUCGGAAUUACUGGGCGUAAAGCGUGCGCAGGCGGCUUCUCAAGUCAGGGGUGAAAGCCCAGAGCUCAACUCUGGAAUUGCCUUUGAGACUGAGUGGCUUGAGUACGAGAGAGGUGAGUGGAAUUCCCAGUGUAGAGGUGAAAUUCGUAGAUAUUGGGAAGAGCACCGGUGGCGAAGGCGGCUCACUGGCUCGUAACUGACGCUCAUGCACGACAGCGUGGGGAUCAAACAGG